rnacentral:rRNA from 1 species
UACGUAGGGUGCAAGCGUUGUCCGGAAUUAUUUGGGCGUAAAGAGCUCGUAGGCGGCUUGUCGCGUCGGCUGUGAAAACCUGGGGCUCAACUCCGGGCCUGCAGCCGAUACGGGCAAGCUAGAAUUCGGUAGGGGAGACUGGAAUUCCUGGUGUAGCGGUGAAAUGCGCAGAUAUCAGGAGGAACACCGGUGGCGAAGGCGGGUCUCUGGGCCGAUAUUGACGCUGAGGAGCGAAAGCGUGGGGAGCGAACAGG